CGGCGGGUCUAGGCGGGGGGCUAGGGGUCCCUUGCACCGUAAACCCUCUACAUGACGGGCUGAAUGCCUUGGCGAGGCGCCAAAGAUCGUCAGGCAUCCCCAGUCCUCUAACCGUGAAUAUCCGUCCCUUUAGGCUGGCGGGCAUGGAGCAACCUCCGUAGGGAGGCUGUUGACUGCGCUUACCAGGCGAACCUGGCCAGGCCCGGGAGGGAGCAACCUAAGUUUGGACGUUCAGCGCUUAGGGGAUCGCGGAUACGAGUUCAGGGAUUGGGGAAACUGGCGUCAACUGGGCGACGAUCCAGGGCGACCCGCUA
rnacentral:SRP_RNA from 1 species